rnacentral:rRNA from 1 species
UGAGUUUGAUUCUGGCUCAGAACGAACGCUGGCGGCAUGCCUAACACAUGCAAGUCGAACGCUAUUUAUAGAGUGGCGCACGGGUGAGUAACGCGUGGGAACCUGCCUUUUUCUGCGGGAUAACGGUUGGAAACGACCGCUAAUACCGCAUACGCCCUACGGGGGAAAGGUCCGCCGGGGAAAGAGGGGCCCGCGUCUGAUUAGCUAGUUGGUGGGGUAAUGGCCUACCAAGGCGACGAUCAGUAGCUGGUCUGAGGGGACGAUCAGCCACACUGGGACUGAGACACGGCCCAGACUCCUACGGGAGGCAGCAGUGGGGAAUAUUGGACAAUGGGGGCAACCCUGAUCCAGCAAUGCCGCGUGUGUGAUGAAGGCCUUAGGGUUGUAAAGCACUUUCACUGGUGAAGAUGAUGACGGUAACCAGAGAAGAAGCCCCGGCUAACUUCGUGCCAGCAGCCGCGGUAAUACGAAGGGGGCGAGCGUUGUUCGGAAUUACUGGGCGUAAAGGGCGCGUAGGCGGUCGUUUAAGUUA